rnacentral:rRNA from 2 species
GAUGAACGCUGGCUGUGUGCCUAAUACAUGCAUGUCGAGCGGAAGUAGCAAUACUUUAGCGGCGAAUGGGUGAGUAACACGUGCUUAAUCUACCUCUUAGAUUGGAAUACCUAAUGGAAACAUUGGUUAAUGCCGGAUACGCAUGGAGUCGCAUGACUCCGUUGUGAAAGGGGCCUUUAAAGCUCCACUAAGAGAUGAGGGUGCGGAACAUUAGCUAGUUGGUGAGGUAACGGCCCACCAAGGCUAUGAUGUUUAGCCGGGUCGAGAGACUGAACGGCCACAUUGGGACUGAGAUACGGCCCAAACUCCUACGGGAGGCAGCAGUAGGGAAUAUUCCACAAUGAGCGAAAGCUUGAUGGAGCGACACAGCGUGCACGAUGAAGGUCUUAUGGAUUGUAAAGUGCUGUUGCAAAGGGA